UGGAAUUGAAAAUAUAGAAUUAAGAGGCGAUUCGAUUAAGAAAAAAUGGAGCUUAGGACACUUCAAUUUUCUCAUCUUUGUUUAUAUUUUAUAUUGUUUAAGGUGCGGGGGGAGAUGUUGAACAAAAUAACUCGUAUGAGACCGAAGUACCCAAUGUAGCCAUUUGCUGAGGAAAAUAUGGCACCAAUAAUCAUUGACCAACAAAACAGUGAUCCAGAGGACACAUUCAGGGUCGUGAAAUCAUGGUUCCAUGAUCAAGACAUAUCGGUACUCAAAUAUCCUUCACAGCCACCUGAUCUGAAUCCUAUUGAGCACCAGUGGGGCAUUUUGGAUGGUUGCUUAAGGACCCAUAUUAAAAUAAAUAAUUAAUUCAAAUACCCCGGCAAAUAAUACAUAAACUGGUCGUUUUCCUGUAAAGAAGAUACAAUGUUGGGUGCACAUGGAUGUGGGACGACAU